UUCGCAAUGCCCGAAAGGGUGACGAAGCGACGCCGCGUGGGUGAAGAAGGCCUUCGGGUUGUAAAACCCUGUCAGGAGUUAUGAAAUGUAAGUGUGCUAAUAUCGUGCUUAUUUGGCAAAGGCUCCAAAGGAAGCCACGGCUAACUCUGUGCCAGCAGCCGCGGUAAUACAGAGGUGGCGAGCGUUGUUCGGAAUUAUUGGGCGUAAAGAGCACGUAGGUGGGUUUGCAAGUCAGAUGUGAAAGCCUUCUGUUCAACGGGAGAAUUGCAUCUGAAACUGCUAAUCUUGAGUAUAGGAGGGGAGAAUGGAACUUCUGGUGGAGCGGUGAAAUGCGUAGAUAUCAGAAGGAACGCCGGCGGCGAAAGCGAUUCUCUGGCCUAUUACUGACACUCAGUGUGCGAAAGCUAGGGGAGCAAACGGGAUUAGAUACCCCGGUAGUCCUAGCCGUAAACGAUGGGCACUAAGUAGA
rnacentral:rRNA from 1 species